AAAAACUGCCUACGAGCUCUCUCUCCCCCUGCCCCAUUCUGUUUGCUCAAAUCAGGAGCUUCAAGGCUGCAGGCAAUCAGUUUCUUGGCUAGAUCGAAUCGUUUGUGUAACUUGUGUAAGUAAUAGAUAUGGGGGCUUACGGAAUUGUCAAGAGAGAAUGAUAGAAACUGAUCACCCCAAAUCGAAGGCGGAAAGUUUGCCAGAUGACGCACCGGCUCUAUGGUGGUUUGUGAGUUAGCUUGCGCCAUAGUGUUAGCUUCAGUUGUUGCCAUUUGUGGAAUGGGAGUUGGUGCAACGAACGCGGCUUAUAUUUUUAAUCAACUAUAUUAUUGCAUAUAUAACAUUAUUUUGGGAAUCAUUACUAUAUGGGUGUGCGUUUGAAGUCAGAAUGUGAAUGCUAAAAAUUAAUUAUCAUCGAGCGUGAUGUGAAUGCUAAAAAUUAA